rnacentral:lncRNA from 1 species
CUCCCAGACCCCUCACCCAUCAGUCCAAGCUCUCUUCUUCUCUCUUAACCCCACUGAUGCUAAUCCUUCCUCUCAAGACUUCUCCAAACCCCACCAUCGAAACCCCACGCCGGCCUUCUUCUCAGAACUUCACCAAACCCCACCCAUCCACUGCUGGCUCUUUUUCUCGGGAUUUUUGCUGCCACCCCAUGGCCACCAACCCUUCUUCUCAGGAUUUCCCCAAACCGCACCCCACCACUAUUGGCCC